UGGGAUUUAUUUUGGCGUAAGAAUUCUGGCUCCCCCUGAGCCUCACUGAUUCUCAAGGAAGAACCUGGUUUUCUUGAAGGUUUUGAACCUACCAGAUGGGCUUCACCCCACCCACCCUCUGCCACCAUCAACAGACCUUGUCUGCUGCCGGAGUGAAGAGAAUCAGACUUGCAGGAGUCCUUCUGUGCUGGCUACUCAUCUGCUGUCUCCACUGACACUGAAACUGGCUGGUGUUCCCUCGUGUCCCACGGGUGAGAACAAUACCCAAUUGCAAGAAAACACAACGAGCUGAAUUGUGUCACUCUGAAACAUCACCCAACAUACUGAGUGGAUACCAUACAUCAGGCACUGCACUAGGCAG
rnacentral:lncRNA from 1 species